rnacentral:rRNA from 1 species
GAUGAACGCUAGCGGCAGGCCUAACACAUGCAAGUCGAGGGGUAGCAGGAUUAAGCUUGCUUAAUUGCUGACGACCGGCGCACGGGUGCGUAACGCGUAUGCAACCUACCUUAUACUGGGGUAUAGCCCGGAGAAAUUCGGAUUAAUCCCCCAUAGUACUAAUGAAUCGCAUGGUUUAUUAGUUAAAGCAUUGCGGUAUAAGAUGGGCAUGCGUCCUAUUAGCUAGAUGGUGAGGUAACGGCUCACCAUGGCUACGAUAGGUAGGGGGCCUGAGAGUGUGGGCCCCCACAGUGGUACGGAGACCCGGACCACACUCCUAGGGGAGGAAGCAGUGAGGAAUAUUGGUCAAGGGGCGAAAGCCUAACCCAGCCAUCCCGCGUGCAGGAAGAAUGCCCUAUGGGUUGAAAAUUGCUUUUAUUUGGGAAUAAACCUCUUUACGUGUAGAGAGCUGAAGGUACAAAAUAAAUAAGCACCGGCUAACUACGUGCCAGCGGCCGCAGUAA